UAGGGAAUCUUCCGCAAUGGGCGAAAGCCUGACGGAGCAACGCCGCGUGAGUGAUGAAGGUCUUCGGAUCGUAAAACUCUGUUAUUAGGGAAGAAAAAAUGUGUAAGUAACUAUGCACGUCUUGACGGUACCUAAUCAGAAAGUCACGGCUAACUACGUGCCAGCAGCCGCGGUAAUACGUAGGUGGCAAGCGUUAUCCGGAAUUAUUGGGCGUAAAGCGCGCGUAGGCGGGUUUUUAAGUCUGAUGUGAAAGCCCACGGCUCAACCGUGGAGGGUCCUUGGAAUCUGGAAUACUUGAGUGCAGAAGAGGAAAGUGGAAUUCCAUGUGUAGCGGUGAAAUGCGCAGAGAUAUGGAGGAACACCAGUGACGAAGGCGACUUUCUGGUCUGUAACUGACGCUGAUGUGCGAAAGCGUGGGGAUCAAACAGG
rnacentral:rRNA from 1 species